rnacentral:lncRNA from 1 species
CUUAGACAUACAGCAGUUCUUUAUUUGUCCAAAAUCUAAAACAGAAAGCCCAAAUUGGUAAAAUAGAAAAAAAAAAUCAAGUUUAUGUGAUAGAAAGAAAUCAGUGACAAUAAACCUUUGAUAGCUCAGACUUGCUUCUAGAUAUUUGUUUACUUAUUAUGUAUCACUUCAUUAGAUGAACAUUUUAAAGUAGCUUAUGAGACCACAUCUAAAACAAUUGAAAAAUAAAAAGUAAUAAAUAACAAGUGAGGGCUAGGGAAAAUAUUAGUAGAACUUGUCAGGUGCCCAGGAAAUCUUGUUGAAUGAAUGAUAGUAGAGAAUGAAUGAAUGAAUAAAAGGUCAAGGCCAGGGAGGAAAGUAGAAUGUAUAAAUUAAGCUGUUAUAAUAGCAGUUAAUCUUCAAGGACUAUUACCACAUGCUAAUAAGUGCUUUAUAUAUUUUAAGUCAUUUAAUUCCCAAACCAACCCCAUGAGACAAAUGCUAUGUGUGACCCCAUUUUACAGAUGGAAGACAAAAGGGCAAAGAAGUUAACGCAGCUUGCAGCUCACUUACGCUCACCCAGAUAGUGAAUGACUUGAGUCAGGAAUGAGCCCAGAGCCCCUGCCUCCUACUAUGGGGCUCUGCAGUAGGUUCCUAUGAGAGAGGAGAUAGCUACUGAAUCUGUGGUGACUUAACUUCAGCCAGCAAGAAACUAAGGACUAAUAUCUGGCUAGCAAUUGAUAGCUUAUAAAGGGCUUUUUACAUUUUCUCUCUCAGUUGAUCCUCACAGCCACCCUUACUAUAAAAAAGAGAAAGCCGGAAGUCAAGAGGAGUUAGCAGUCUUGUCCAAUAUCCCACUAAUUUAGAGCAAGGGUGAGGCCCAUUGCUCCUGCCUCUGGAUGCUGCACGUGGAGUCAAGAGCUGGUUUGUGGUCACAUUAUCAUGCUAGCUGACCAGGCCCUGAAUGAAAUACCUUCUGUGUCAUCCAGAGACAAUCAAAUUUCAAUUUUCUGAAAAAUUAAUAAUUUACACAUAGAUUUGCAACUAAAACAUCUUGUUACCCAGAUAAAACUUUAUUAUACUUUCAUAGUUUUCAAAAAUCAUGUAUUUGAUUUUCUUCAAAUGUUAGAGUCCAGGCAUGCCAUUGCUUUGGUAGGAAUAGGCGAGCAUUUCCAAAAGCAAAUCUCACUGAAAUGGUGCUGAAACUUACCAGGUAACUUCUUACUCAAAGGAACAAGGACUUUCACUUAGAGAUUUUAUUUUAUUAUUUAUGUAUAUAUGUAUCUAUUUUUUUUAGUUGUAGUUAGACACAAUACCUUUAUUUUAUUUACUUAUAUUUAUAUGGUGUUGAGGAUCAAAUCCAGCACCUUGCACAUGCUACAUUAGCACUCUACCACGGAGCCACAACCACAGCCCUAUGUAUCUAUUUUUGAUGCUGAAAAUUGAAUGCAGAGCGUCUUACACAUGCUAACAACUGAACUAGACCCCCAGCCCCACUCAAAGGUUUUUAAAUACUCUAAAAAUAUACAGGGAAGAGUAAAGAAUGUGUGUGAGAAGAAAGUGGGGCACUGACCAGAGUGGGUGAAGCUGGUGGAAAUGGGAGCCCCCUAAGCUGGGCAUGAGGCACAUGCCUGUAAAUCUAGCAAUUCAGGAGGUUGAGGCAUGAGAAUCUCAAGUUUAAGGCCAGCCUCAGCAACUUAUUGAGGCCCUGAGGCCCUCAGCAACUUAGCAAGACCUUGUCUCAAAAAUAUAAAGGGCUGGGGACAUAGCUCAGUGGUACAGUGUCCCUGGGUUCAAUUCCCAGUACCAAAACAAAACAAAAAAGACCCUGCUGGGUGCUCUCCUGUGGGCUUUUGAUGAGAGCAGCAUUGUUGGGAAGCUCAAAGUUGGGCUGUCAGUCAUCCUGCCUGUGUGACCUUGGUCUCGUCUGAAUCCUUUUCCCUCCUCUGUAAAAUGCUGGCCUACUAAACCCAAUAUUUAUGAUUCUGUGAUUAUAACACCUCAAAACAUCAUUCUUUUGUUCUUUACAAAGUGGUUAUAGAUGCAGUCUUUAACCAAGACACCUGGGUUUAAAUGACCCCUAAAACAGCCCUACCUAUUUUAUUGCUAUUGCUUCUUUUAAACUAUUAAAGUGUGCUCUGAAUGAAUUCUUUCUUCUUCCUCUUCUCCCCCUUCCUCUGAAUCUUUAUAGAAUAGCCCAUUGUGCCCAAGUUUUCUCUUAUGAUUUUCCACCAAUCUUAGAAUUAUGUAUACCUCUGAGCGAUGCUAAAUGGGACCCUUGAUUACAAUAACGGUUGCUCUUUUCCACCCUCACCCGGCCCUGCUCACAGUCCUGCUGUGAUGUAACUUUGAUUUCAUGCCUUUGAAGGGUGGCUAACGCCACAAAGAUUGCUUUGUACGAGACCCCAACUGGCUGGAAGUUUUUUGGGAAUUUGAUGGAUGCAAGCAAACUGUCCCUUUGUGGGGAGGAGAGCUUCGGCACUGGUAAGUUGCAGUCCUGUGCUAGCAUUUUCUUCCCCACAACUGCCACCUCCAGUGAAAGUUUAGACUGCUAGGACAGCCCUGAAAUAGCAACAGUAGCUGAUGUGUCCUAAAUCAAGAAGCAAUUUAUUUAUAACAGCCUGAUGGAGUAUACACAUUGGAAAAGCGGUGAGCACAUUCCUGCAGGACGGCUAAUUUUACUUUCAGAGGAUCAUGUCCACUGAGACAGGAAGUUUG